rnacentral:rRNA from 1 species
UGAACGCUGGCGGCGUGCCUAAUACAUGCAAGUUGUGCGGUAACAGAGAGAGCUUGCUCUCUGCUGACGAGCGGCGGACGGCAGAGUAACGCGUAGGAACAUACCCCAAACUGAGGGAUAACUGCUCGAAAGAGUAGCUAAUACCGCAUGUGGUCUUCGGAUUAAAGCUUCGGCGGUUUGGGAGUGGCCUGCGUCCGAUUAGCUAGUUGGUGAGGUAAUUGCUCACCAAGGCGACGAUCGGUAGCUGGUCUGAGAGGAUGAUCAGCCUGACUGGAACUGAGAACGGUCCAGACUCCUACGGGAGGCAGCAGUAGGGAAUUUUCCACAAUGGGCGAAAGCCUGAUGGAGCAACGCCGCGUGCAGGAUGAAUGCCUUCGGGUUGUAAACUGCUUUUCUGUGUGAAGAAUAUGACGGUAACACAGGAAUAAGGGUCGGCUAACUACGUG